GAGUUUGAUCCUGGCUCAGAGUGAACGCUGGCGGUAGGCCUAACACAUGCAAGUCGAACGGCAGCACGGCAAGAGCUUGCUCUUGUGGGUGGCGAGUGGCGGACGGGUGAGGAAUACAUCGGAAUCUACCUUGUCGUGGGGGAUAACGUAGGGAAACUUACGCUAAUACCGCAUACGACCUUCGGGUGAAAGUGGGGGACCUUUUAGGCCUCACGCGAUUGGAUGAGCCGAUGUCGGAUUAGCUAGUUGGUGGGGUAAAGGCCCACCAAGGCGACGAUCCGUAGCUGGUCUGAGAGGAUGAUCAGCCACACUGGAACUGAGACACGGUCCAGACUCCUACGGGAGGCAGCAGUGGGGAAUAUUGGACAAUGGGCGCAAGCCUGAUCCAGCCAUACCGCGUGGGUGAAGAAGGCCUUCGGGUUGUAAAGCCCUUUUGUUGGGAAAGAAAUCCUGUUGAUUAAUACUCGACAGGGAUGACGGUACCCAAAGAAUAAGCACCGGCUAACUUCGUG
rnacentral:rRNA from 1 species